CUGGCUCAGGAUGAACGCUGGCGGCGUGCCUAAUACAUGCAAGUCGAGCGAACGGACGAGAAGCUUGCUUCUAUGAUGUUAGCGGCGGACGGGUGAGUAACACGUGGAUAACCUACCUAUAAGACUGGGAUAACUUCGGGAAACCGGAGCUAAUACCGGAUAAUAUUUUGAACCGCAUGGUUCAAAAGUGAAAGACGGUCUUGCUGUCACUUAUAGAUGGAUCCGCGCUGCAUUAGCUAGUUGGUAAGGUAACGGCUUACCAAGGCAACGAUGCAUAGCCGACCUGAGAGGGUGAUCGGCCACACUGGAACUGAGACACGGUCCAGACUCCUACGGGAGGCAGCAGUAGGGAAUCUUCCGCAAUGGGCGAAAGCCUGACGGAGCAACGCCGCGUGAGUGAUGAAGGUCUUCGGAUCGUAAAACUCUGUUAUUAGGGAAGAACAUAUGUGUAAGUAACUGUGCACAUCUUGACGGUACCUAAUCAGAAAGCCACGGCUAACUACGUGCCAGCAGCCGCGGUAAUACGUAGGUGGCAAGCGUUAUCCGGAAUUAUUGGGCGUAAAGCGCGCGUAGGCGGUUUUUUAAGUCUGAUGUGAAAGCCCACGGCUCAACCGUGGAGGGUCAUUGGAAACUGGAAAACUUGAGUGCAGAAGAGGAAAGUGGAAUUCCAUGUGUAGCGGUGAAAUGCGCAGAGAUAUGGAGGAACACCAGUGGCGAAGGCGACUUUCUGGUCUGUAACUGACGCUGAUGUGCGAAAGCGUGGGGAUCAAACAGGAUUAGAUACCCUGGUAGUCCACGCCGUAAACGAUGAGUGCUAAGUGUUAGGGGGUUUCCGCCCCUUAGUGCUGCAGCUAACGCAUUAAGCACUCCGCCUGGGGAGUACGACCGCAAGGUUGAAACUCAAAGGAAUUGACGGGGACCCGCACAAGCGGUGGAGCAUGUGGUUUAAUUCGAAGCAACGCGAAGAACCUUACCAAAUCUUGACAUCCUUUGACAACUCUAGAGAUAGAGCUUUCCCCUUCGGGGGACAAAGUGACAGGUGGUGCAUGGUUGUCGUCAGCUCGUGUCGUGAGAUGUUGGGUUAAGUCCCGCAACGAGCGCAACCCUUAAGCUUAGUUGCCAUCAUUAAGUUGGGCACUCUAAGUUGACUGCCGGUGACAAACCGGAGGAAGAUGGGGAUGACGUCAAAUCAUCAUGCCCCUUAUGAUUUGGGCUACACACGUGCUACAAUGGACAAUACAAAGGGCAGCGAAACCGCGAGGUCAAGCAAAUCCCAUAAAGUUGUUCUCAGUUCGGAUUGUAGUCUGCAACUCGACUACAUGAAGCUGGAAUCGCUAGUAAUCGUAGAUCAGCAUACUACGGUGAAUACGUUCCCGGGUCUUGUACACACCGCCCGUCACACCACGAGAGUUUGUAACACCCGAAGCCGGUGGAGUAACCUUUUAGGAGCUAGCCGUCGAAGGUGGGACAAAUGAUUGGGGUG
rnacentral:rRNA from 1 species